GAACACUUCACUGGAGUCUCUCCACGGGAAGAAGCUCCCAUGGUAAAUGCACUAUUUCCUGCUGCUGUCAGGCUGUUCAUGUUGGCUAAAACACAUGGAAGAAAUCCUGAUAGACUGAAGAAAAUGAGGAUGGAUUCAGUGAGAUAAAUGGAAAAGCACUGCAUGGACUUCUCUUUGGAUAAAACAAGUUGUCACAUCAGCUUUGAUGAAGUGGCCUAUGCUGUUGCCUUCCCUUCCUCUGAAAACUCAAGCAUCCCACAGCAGAAUUUGUUAUUUCCAAGUC